rnacentral:rRNA from 1 species
GACGAACGCUGGCGGCGUGCUUAACACAUGCAAGUCGAACGGAAAGGCCCCAGCUUGCUGGGGUACUCGAGUGGCGAACGGGUGAGUAACACGUGGGUGAUCUGCCCUGCACUCUGGGAUAAGCCUGGGAAACUGGGUCUAAUAUCGGAUAGGACCGUGCUUUAGUGUGUGCGGUGGAAAGUUUUUCGGUGCAGGAUGAGCCCGCGGCCUAUCGGCUUGUUGGUGGGGUAAUGGCCUACCAAGGCGGCGACGGAUAGCCGGCCUGAGAGGGUGUACGGCCACAUUGGGACUGAGACACGGCCCAGACUCCUACGGGAGGCAGCAGUGGGGAAUAUUGCACAAUGGGCGCAAGCCUGAUGCAGCGACGCCGCGUGGGGGAUGACGGCCUUCGGGUUGUAAACCCCUUUCGGCAGGGACGAAGCUUUUGUGACGGUACCUGCAUAAGAAGCACCGGCUAACUACGUG